UUAAUACUCUCUCCGUCCCGAAUUACUUGUCUUAGAUUUGUCUAGAUACGGGUGUAUCUAGACACGUUUUAGUGUUAUACAAUCUAAAUGGAAAUCUAAGACAAGUAAUUUGGGAUGGAGCUAAUAGAAU
rnacentral:pre_miRNA from 1 species